GGGGAUUUAGCUCAGUGGUAGAGCGCUUGCCUAGCAAGCACAAGGCCCUGAGUUCGUUCCCCAGCUCCG
rnacentral:tRNA from 1 species